rnacentral:rRNA from 1 species
UACGGGGGGGGCAAGCGUUGUUCGGAAUUACUGGGCGUAAAGGGCUCGUAGGCGGCCAACUAAGUCAGACGUGAAAUCCCUCGGCUUAACCGGGGAACUGCGUCUGAUACUGGAUGGCUUGAGUUUGGGAGAGGGAUGCGGAAUUCCAGGUGUAGCGGUGAAAUGCGUAGAUAUCUGGAGGAACACCGGUGGCGAAGGCGGGUCUCUGGGCCGAUACUGACGCUGAGGAGCGAAAGCGUGGGGAGCGAACAGG